rnacentral:tRNA from 1 species
GCCCCUAUAGCUUAAUGGUAAAGCAAAAUACUGUUAAUAUUUGUAUAGAGGUUCGAUUCCUCUUGGGGGCU